rnacentral:misc_RNA from 1 species
AAUGGUUCCUGUCCGAGAGAGAACAUGAUCUAGUGAUCUCUCUCGUAGUUACUACAUGCUUGCAGGCGGUGUACAUUAGCGAUGCCCUGCCACGCAAUGCAAUGGUUCCUGUCCGAGAGAGAACAUGAUCUAGUGAUCUCUCUCGUAGUUACUACAUGCUUUCGAAAAUUUCUUAUUUGGGGGCCCGAUUAUAUGGAUGUUAGCGCUCAUUGUUGCAGCGAGCUUAGAAACUCACAGCUUGCAGCUUCUUAACGUUUCCUAAACGUUCUUGUGAUGCAGAUUUGAGAUUGAUUCGAAGUGUCAGGAGUGCAUGGCUUUAUUGUUUUGGGAAACUAUAGUUGCCCAGACGCAGAUGAUCAAUCCCCCGGUUGUGUAGUGCACCCUGGUUUGAAUGUUUUUCUCCUUCAAGCUUGAAUUCAGAUUCAGGCACUGAGUUUGCGCUUCGUAACCCGAUUCCCAAGGUGUAGCUGCCUAAGAGUGACGAAGAUUUGGAUUGCUAUGCGCGAGAAACUGUACCGGAAAGGAUACAGAAAAAUUAAUGCGCAUUGGAUUACGUCCCUAGAAGGGUUAGUUGCACGUUUUGUAUUUACGUCGACGUAAUGUUACUCGCAGCUAGGAGUGGUAUGAGUUCUUCUUAGACGCCGUCAAUGAUCAACUUGGGCAGUCAUACACUGCUUCUCUAUAAUAUUUUGUUUUGUAAGAAUUGGAACGUACCGGGUCUGCUUGGUACACUGCUUUUAUGUAAGAUUUCGUUUGUAAGAAUUGGAACCGGAUCUGCUAGGAGGUUUCGAGACUGGGUGGCGUUUCUGGAUCCAUUUCUUACAGACGAAAUCCUACAGGCUCUACGAAUAAAACGCCGUUUGUCUCUUGUGGUGCUCU